UUGAACGCUGGCGGCAGGCCUAACACAUGCAAGUCGAGCGGAUGAAGGGAGCUUGCUCCUGGAUUCAGCGGCGGACGGGUGAGUAAUGCCUAGGAAUCUGCCUGGUAGUGGGGGAUAACGUCCGGAAACGGGCGCUAAUACCGCAUACGUCCUGAGGGAGAAAGUGGGGGAUCUUCGGACCUCACGCUAUCAGAUGAGCCUAGGUCGGAUUAGCUAGUUGGUGGGGUAAAGGCCUACCAAGGCGACGAUCCGUAACUGGUCUGAGCGGAUGAUCAGUCACACUGGAACUGAGACACGGUCCAGACUCCUACGGGAGGCAGCAGUGGGGAAUAUUGGACAAUGGGCGAAAGCCUGAUCCAGCCAUGCCGCGUGUGUGAAGAAGGUCUUCGGAUUGUAAAGCACUUUAAGUUGGGAGGAAGGGCAGUAAGUUAAUACCUUGCUGUUUUGACGUUACCAACAGAAUAAGCACCGGCUAACUUCGUG
rnacentral:rRNA from 1 species